UGCAGCCAGCCAGUGGUGUGUAGAGCAAAAAAGAGAGAGAGAGAGGAACCCACCAGGCAACAACACACCUCAUCCGGUCGAUAAAGAUAAUGUUUGGCUCUGCAAAACAAAAUGAAAUGUCGGCGUCAGUUUUGCACCCUCACGCUUAAACUGCAACCUCAGUGAGUGACCCCUCUGCCCACAUCGGCCUGUCCAGUUCAUGUCACAGAGGAAACAGAUGGAUCCUCAUUGAGCAGUCAUGAGGAGGGAACAACAGAAAAUCAUCCAAAAUGUCCUGCAGAGCUGGAGAUGGAGGACGCUGUCUGCUUCAAAUAAAAAAAGGAUCCUGUGUGCUGCAGACUGACACUGCUGACACAGACGAGUCAAAGGGCCAGUGCUGAACCUGCAGCCGCCAUCUGCUGUGUGCCCUGAGCGGUGUCCUGAGCCCUGGCCUUAAAGAGACACAAACCAGAGAAGAGUCUUACCCCAUACAACCCCUGAGUGCAGCUUUUACGCAUGCUUACUGACAUGCUUACUAACCCAACUUCUGCCUUAGGAGUCAGGCGGAAAGACAUGAGGAGAUCUGUUUGUACCAACAGCACCAUCACAAAUUCGCAGAAUUACGUCAGACUUCCGAUUCAGUAUUUUAUUAUAGUAGUAGUGUCACGUAGAUGGUGUCUCUUUUUUAGAUGGCAACAAUAAAGGUUGCUCACAACUUGCAAAAAAUACUGCAGUUAGUUCAUUUAGUGAGCAUAGGCCAGUUUAACCAAAUCUUCAUCAUAUGAAGACCAUGUGGUGUAUGACAUGGACUUUGAGUUGACAUUGUUAUACCAACUGCUUUUAGCUCUUUGCAACUUUA